GGCACGAUCAACACUCCACUCAGACAAUGGCCAGACCUCCAGAAGUCAUGUCUAGCUUAGAUUGCAACAAGUGCAAUUUUCACAGUUUCUGUCCUCUUUUCCCGAUAUUGUCACACUGGGGAUCUGACUUCUGGCUCUUUUUCUCCGAACUGGCCUACCCAGCCAGUCCUCCCAUGAGACUUGGGCCCCAGAGGUCACCGACUCCUUGUUGAGUUUUCCCAUGGUCUCUCCGACUUGACUUCCUUGGCUUUCUUCUAGAUCAACAAACACUGGUUGAGCAUCUGUUGUGGGUUAGGGACUGAGCUAUACAGGUAAGGGGUGACGAAAAAACAAUUAAGACACAUUCCUUGCCUUUUAGGAGCUCACAGUCCAGGGGAAGAGGCAGUCCGGAAACCGGGCGACCACAAUAUAUGAAGGGACGCCUCUAAGACAGGUGCUGCUGAUGAAAGUGCUAAAGGAGCUGGAUGUGACUGACGUCGGUGGGAAGGACGAGGCUGUGUGCGCGCAUGCAGCUGUGCUGUCCAAAUGCUGUCCUUACCUCCCAAUGGAAAGCUGAUGGAGGGCCAUGCUUGGGACAGCACCAGAAGAGCCUUCCAGCAGACAGGCCAGGGAGGAAGCCAGGGUCAGUGAGUGAAGAGGAGAGCAGAGCCAUUUAAAGCAACAUGGUUUAUGACAUUUUUGACACCAGAUGUGUGGGUUUCUCUACACCAAGGAAUUCUUCAAUUCUCAGCAACCACUGACUAUCCUACAAUUUAACUCAACUCUGACAGUAAUUGGCCAGGAUUAGCACACGCCCUGGGUAUAAGGGCUCAGUCCAACAAGAUUGCACUUUAGAUGCCAAUCGUAAGACCCAGGUUGUCACCUGCACUUCUGAUCAACUGAAUAUAAACUUUUUCCACCAUCUCCUCUUGGGGUUUGAAAAUUAGCCAGAAUGGCUCACAGAAUUCAGAAAAAUACCUCACUGACAUUUACCAGUUUAUUAUAAAGGAUACAACUCAGGAAAAGCCAGAUGGAAGAGAUACAUAUGGGAAGGUGUGGGUGGAGGGGGUGUGCAGCUCCCAUGCCCUCCCUGGAUGUGCCACCCUCCUGGCACCUAGAUGUCUUCACUGACAUGGAAGCUCCUUGGACUCCAUAACUUAGGGUUUUUAUGGAGAGUCCACUGUGUAGACAUGAUUGACUAAAUCAUUGGCCACUGGUGAAUAAGUUAUCAUUCCAGCCUCUUUCCUACCUGGAGGUCAAAGGGUGAAAAUGAAUGUUCCAACCCUUAAAUCACAUGAUUGGAUCCUCUGGCAAUCAGCCUCCACCUUCCAAGAGUCAUCUCAUUAGCAUAAACAGAAUAGGCCAGAAUCCUGAACCAUAGAUAAUCUAUUAUUCUCCUGGGGAUCCAUGCCCAAAAGAUGUGUCAAAGAAUGGCUGCAAAACUGUGUAACACUAAGCACCCACCUGAUAGAAGAGUCCUGAGAAUUCAGUGAGACAAAGGGCGCCUGCGUGGCUUAGUCAGUGAAGCAUCUGACUCUUAAUUGCAGCACAGGUCUUGAUCUCAGGACGGUAAGUUCCAGCCCCAUGUUGGACUCCAUGCUGGGCGUAGAGCCUACUUAAAAGAAAAAAAAAUUAAAUGAGACAAUAUCUAGUUGUCUAGAAUAGUCCUUGGCACACAGGAGGCUCCUUGUAAAUAGAAGCUAUCACUACUACAAAUUCUCUUCAUCUCAUUACCAUUACUCCUCCUUCUACUACUGUUGCUUAGGUUAUAUCCAUUAAAGCCAGCAGUUUUUCCAUUAGUCUGACCAAUGGCUUGAUGUUUAAUGAUGGAAUUCUAUGAUUCGGUGUAAGCCUCUCUAAACCUAUGCUUUCCUUUCAACAAUGGUAAAAAAAAAUUUUUUUAAGUUUUUAUUUAUAUUAGAGAGAUAGAGUAAGGGAGAGAAAGCAUGAGCAAGGUGAAGGGCAGAGGGAGAAGCAGAUUCCCUGCUAAGUAGGGAGCUGGACAAGGGACCUGAUCCCAAGACCCAGGGAUCAUGACCUGAGCCAAAGGCAGACGCUUAACUGACUGAGCCACCCAGGUGUCCCCUGACAACGGUAAAGAUUUUAAAUUGACCUCCAGUUGAAA